rnacentral:rRNA from 1 species
AUUGAACGCUGGCGGCAGGCCUAACACAUGCAAGUCGAGCGGAUGAAGGGAGCUUGCUCCUGGAUUCAGCGGCGGACGGGUGAGUAAUGCCUAGGAAUCUGCCUGGUAGUGGGGGAUAACGUCCGGAAACGGGCGCUAAUACCGCAUACGUCCUGAGGGAGAAAGUGGGGGAUCUUCGGACCUCACGCUAUCAGAUGAGCCUAGGUCGGAUUAGCUAGUUGGUGGGGUAAAGGCCUACCAAGGCGACGAUCCGUAACUGGUCUGAGAGGAUGAUCAGUCACACUGGAACUGAGACACGGGCCAGACUCCUACGGGAGGCAGCAGUGGGGAAUAUUGGACAAUGGGCGAAAGCCUGAUCCAGCCAUGCCGCGGGUGUGAAGAAGGUCUUCGGAUUGGAAAGCACUUUAAGUUGGGAGGAAGGGCAGUAAGUUAAUACCUUGCUGUUUUGACGUUACCAACAGAAUAAGCACCGGCUAACUUCGUG